rnacentral:sRNA from 1 species
GUUAGGGUUAGGGUUAGGGUUAGGGUUAGGGUUAGGGUUAGGGUUAGGGUUAGGGUUAGGAGUCAAGUAAUUUGACAAAGAUGUAUUGACUGUGAAUGAGCCUAAAGACAGAUGCUCAGUGUCCUUAGACUUAGGGAAGUGGAAAGAAAAGCCCUGAUGACACAGCAUUGCAUACCCACUAUAAUUCAGCACUGUGACAACUCUGAUGUCACAAGGCUCCCUGGUGGAAGCUCAGCGGCGUAAGUGUAGGUGUGUCCUGGAAUCUCUGGAAUAUGCACUCUAGCAACACAAGGUUAUGAACAAGGAAGAGAAGGCCAUGCAGGUGACUAAGGUAUAGGUCCAGUCUAGAACAGCAAUAAAGGCAACUUUGCUUUGGAGGCUGGGAGGAGCCCACGGGAACAAACAAGAGGCACACAUGGAAAUACAAAGUGCAAAGAAAGACAGCAAGGAGUCAGGAAAAAUGCAAACCAGCCUGAGAAUAGGCAGCAUGGUUAGGAAGCUGUAACUCCCUAAGCAUGUACAGUCUCAUAUGGGUCAGAUGCCAUGGAAGCUGUGUGGGGGCCAGGCAGCAGUGGACUGCACUCUGACUUUAGGAGUGUCUAAGGAGAGAAGUUGAUUUGGGCUUGGAGGGGAGCAGCAGUCAGAAGAUGAAUGGUCAGAGCAGUGAGUGAGUUUGCUCAGUAUGUGCAAGCCUGAACUCAGGUAUUACUUCGGGGAAGUUAUUUAAACUUUGAGGUUUGUUUCUGCAUCUGUUAAAUGGGUAUGAAAAGGGCACUUAAAUGCCAUGACACUUGAAAACAGUGGGUUUAAUAUUCCCAAAGUUUCAGUUAAAAUGAUGCUGGAAGACGGGCAGACCGAGUCUGGUACUGUGAGAAAAGCCAGAUGAGGGCCAGGCUCACUAGGCUCACUGGAUGUGAAGGCCACCAGUUUUGUGUUAUGUGGUUUCUAUCCUAUGUCAUCUGUGUACUUUGGGAUGUUUGCUGAGCAGCUAUGAGCAAGGCACGCAUUUUCAUCACCCACAAGCUUGAACGAUGAGAUGGGCUGUGAAGGUCCCACACUGAAAGGACAGUGUGGUAGGAGGGGGCCUGGCUGCUGAGUAGGCACUGGCUAUGUUCAGAAAGAGCAGUGUGUGGGGGCAAAUAGGAGCAGGCAGCUGUGAGUGCAGGGCAGACCAACUGUGCCAGCCCAGAAGACAAGAACUGAAAGGGAAAGGACUGGAAGCAUGAGUUCAGAGGGCUGAGGCUGCUGGCUCACCCCACUGGAAUGGGGUGGCACUUCAGGACACGAAACUUGGAGCUGGUGGCAGAUUUCUUGGAACUGGUGGCAGGAAGAUCUAAAUUAAGACUGUUCUAUCACAACAAAUAAAUAGAAGCUGAAAUAGAGACUAAAGGAAUUCAGCAGAAUGCCUUCAUACAUAAUUUCUUAAAUACAGAGGAAGACCUCAGGAAGCAGACUGGUAUUUAUUCAAUAGAGCCUCAAGGUAUUUGCUGAAAACAAUGACACUAUUUGACACAAAAGCACAAGCUUCUCUUUUUGAAGCACCCUGUGCCAUAGAUGAUGGCAAUUUCCACUCUGCUUGGAAGGUUCUUGACAAGGCCCCAGGCCUGGCCCAUUACCUGCUCAGGGGACAAGACGAGUUACUCCAGCAUGGGGUCAGCAUCAUGUACUCACACAGAAGCUUCCUGCUUCAUGCCAAGAUGCAGAGGCUCCCUAGAACUCUGAAGAGCCCAUCUCAACAAGGCUGUGUCCCUAGCUCAGAGACUAGUGGACCCUGUCCUUUCAUGGCCAGCAAGGGUGAGGUUCCUAGCCAGAGGGUGCUGGAAAGAAGUUCAUUCAGCAGAAAAUCAUCUAAGCAGUGCCGGGAGACCUUACUAUUUUAAAUGUGAAAGGCCUAUCAAACCAGCUGUGUCUCCUUCAGGCAGGCAAGGCCCUGAGGUUCUCUGGUUAUUUCUGAUGAUUCUGCACUCCCAACGUGAUAGACACCUCU